AAUGGGGGCAACCCUGAUCCAGCCAUGCCGCGUGAGUGAAGAAGGCCCUAGGGUUGUAAAGCUCUUUCGCCAGGGAAGAUAAUGACGGUACCUGGUAAAGAAGUCCCGGCUAACUCCGUGCCAGCAGCCGCGGUAAUACGGAGGGGACUAGCGUUGUUCGGAAUUACUGGGCGUAAAGAGUACGUAGGCGGCUUGCCAAGUUGGGUAUGAAAGCCCGGGGCUCAACCCCGGAACUGCAUUCAAAACUGGUUGGCUAGAGAUCGGAAGAGGUAAGUGGAAUUCCCAGUGUAGAGGUGAAAUUCGUAGAUAUUGGGAAGAACACCGGUGGCGAAGGCGACUUACUGGUCCGAUACUGACGCUGAGGUACGAAAGCGUGGGGAGCAAACAGGAUU
rnacentral:rRNA from 1 species